UUCUUCUCCAUUUUUCUCCUCCUCUAAACCGGAGCUGCUUCUGUUCUAAACCUAAAUCCACAUCUUCAAAAUCAAGACCAAGCUUUCAAAAAUCAAAAUAUAUCUCUCCUGAACUCUAAUCUCAUGAAUCAAAAUCCUUUUCUCUCCCAAAACGUUAGCUUUUCUCUUUUUUUUCUUCUUUCUCUUCUAAACCUAAAUCGAGAUAUUCGAAUUGAAAUCAAGUUAUUUGAAAUCAAAAUUUGUCUCUUUUAAACCUGAAUUUUAUUAAUCAAAACUCAUAGAAAUCAUUCAGAUCUGAGAUUUGGGUUUUUUCUCAUGAUCUUGGAUCUAAUAAAGGUAAAAUGGCGGCUCACCAUUAUCAUAGAGUUGGAGUUAAUGGUCUUGAGUUACACAGGAAGGAAAAAUUUUCCAGUUAUAAAGUUUAUGUUGUUGAAGGAAAGAUGAAAGUCUUUUAGGAAGAGUUUCAGAUGGCUUAAAGAUAGGUAGUAUAAUCUAUCUAUGUUCAUUCUCUGAUUUAUUCAUUUUCUAGGUGUGUGUGAUAUUCAAUUUUGUUAUUUAGGUGAUUGUUGAAAGGAGAAAUUGUUGGAAAAAAAGCGGAGUUGAAACUGUUAAGCUUCUUAAACAUAAACCGACUGAUAAGUUUGUUUGGUUUGUUCCUUGAUAAUCAUACAUGUUUUUUUGUUUUUUCCUUUAAUUUUAAAGUUGUUUUUGGAUGUUUUGUUUUUGAGGUUUGAAAUUGUGACAUCUGAUUUAGUGGUUUUGUGAUUUUGAAUUUGUUGCUCUACCAAUCUAGUCGACUAGUUCUAAUAGUGUUCCAUAGCCAGUCAUUUUCAGUGAUUGUGGGAUUUUAAGUGGUGGUGGAUGCUGGUUGUGGACGGUGAAGGUGGCUGGUAGUGGGGGUAGAUGUUAGUGGUGGGUGAUGAUGCUAGGGGUGGUGGAUGCUGGUGGUCAGUGGUUGAUGUUCUACUAUAUUCUAUUCAACUGGUAGAUUACCGAGUGUUGCUGCAUAGUAUUCUUUCGAUCCAGAAAGGAAAUCAUCGCAUUUGAGUACACCCUGUGUUCCAUGGUUUCUUUGAUAAGCUCAUCGGGUUAUUUUUCUUAUUUCUUUCAUGGCAGGGCCGGUAAUCCAAUUUCAGUAAUUCAUUGUGUAUAGUUGAUGCCCAUAAAGUGGACUGUCCACAAGGGUCUGGUAACUCCCCUACUCAAAAGAGCUCUAUUUGUUAUGCCAUUUAUGAUGCAGAGGGAAAUUUCACAUGUAAUUCUAUACCUUGUGGUAAUACUGGCAAAUAUUUUUUGUGAACAUUAUGUCUUUCAUUUCCAUUUUUAGUAAGAAAUAUGACUUCUACAGAGCCGUACGAGGAUUCAUAUCCAAGCUAAAAAGUGUCGAAAGAUUAUUUUUCUCUUGUUUAUUGUGAAACCACCAUUCCGAAUUUUAGUUUCUCUGGAAUAUCAAAUGAGUUUUUUUUUGGCAUUGUGGCAAAUAAUAUGCUAGGAAAAAUUAUUCUAGAAAGCAAUUCUCAUUUACUCUUUCAGUCUUGUAGGGGUUUUUGAGAUUUUACCAUAUUACAAGGGCUAGUAUACUGUUUUGACGUGUCUCCACCAUUCGGUUGGUAUUGGUCUCUGUUGAGCAUCGUCAUGUUACAGUAACACAAAAUUACAGGUCACUGGGUUUUCUGUUGGUAGUUGUGUGAUUGAUGCCUGUGGGGUAGGAGUAGAUGGUAUUGCGACUAUAGUGGAUGGCCAAGAAAGAACAACAUUUUGAUUGUUAUAAAGAUUUCAUUGAGAAAACUCUGGGCGCGCAAGAUACCUUCACCAUCCAUCGCUACUUGCCUGACGGAAGUUAUGAAGAUCGAGGAGUUGAUGAGGUGAUCGUUGAAUAUUCUUGGAAGAGACAAGUUGGUGGCGAUUGGUUAGUGGAUCAAUCUGGGGCUCCAGCUAUCACACUAUCAGCAAUAUUUUUUGUUAAUCUCAUUCUCAUUUGAAGUCUAGAUGGAUAUUCAUCAUGUCAAUACUGGCUCUCUCAUCUGUUCAGAUUCUAUCAGCAAGGCCACUUGGUGGUGGUAAAAAUGGUGCGACUAUGGAGGACAUUUUGAUUCAGAAUUUCCCAUACAGGACUCCAAACAACUGAACCGGAAAAAAAGGUAUGAAGCUGGUAAUGGUGUGGAUGGAUCGGUUCAUUACAUCCUGUCGUUGUGACAAGUACGGAAAAAGGAUCGAGGUACCUUGUACCAUUUAUGUUAGUUGUUCAAGUUAGAGUAUAUCAGAGGCUAGUUUAAACUUGAGUAGGUCAUGUAGUGUGCCAACAUCAUACACACUCCCACUAUUUUCUUGUUGAUCUAAUCAUUAUGUAUUAGUCAUAAUUGGUAUGUUAACUCAGUCAUAAUUCAGCUCUGCUAUUCUGAGAUUAAUCAUCUUCAAGUCCUACGAUGUAUUAGUCGUCUCCUUCAAUUGUACAAGUUCAAUAAAGCAUUUACUAGGUCUAUUUCUGAUCUCUUGUAGAGAGUAUAAGUUAUGUGUAUGUAAUCCAUGUUGGAAGAGAGAAUAUUGUGAGAAUAUUCCAUUUUUCAUAUGAAAAUUUGGGUCUUUUAGUUGAUCUACGAUGGUAUAUGAAGGUGCAGAAAUGUGCCGGAAGUAUUGUCGGAAUUUUUUUACCUUGAAUUACCGUUAGAAAUUAUUUAUUUUU